rnacentral:tRNA from 1 species
AGGGGCAUAGCUCAGCUGGUUAGAGCGCUGCCUUUACACGGCAGAAGUCCACGGUUCGAAUCCGUGUGCCCCUACCA